rnacentral:misc_RNA from 1 species
UGUCGGUAGGUGAACCUGCGGAGGGAUCAUGACUGAGUGAGGGCUUCGGUCCGACCUCCAACCCUUUGUGAACCAAACUUGUUGCUUCGGGGGCGACCCUGCCGCUUCGGCGGUGCGGCGCCCCCGGAGGCCAUUAAACUCUGCAUCAUUGCGUCGGAGUUAAAGUAAAUUAAACAAAACUUUCAACAACGGAUCUCUUGGUUCCAGCAUCGAUGAAGAACGCAGC